UACGGAGGGUGCAAGCGUUAAUCGGAUUUAUUGGGCGUAAAGGGCGCGUAGGCGGGAAGGAAAGUUAGACGUGAAAGACCGGGGCUCAACCCCGGAAACGCAUCAAAUACUUCUUUUCUUGAGGAUAGGCGGAGAAAAUGGAAUUCCACGUGUAGCGGUGAAAUGCGUAGAUAUGUGGAAGAACACCGGUGGUGAAAGCGAUUUUCUAGCUUAGACCUGACGCUGAGGCGCGAAAGCUAGGGGAGCAAACAGG
rnacentral:rRNA from 1 species